rnacentral:tRNA from 1 species
UAGAAUAGAGUGUAAGGGUAGCACGGAGAAUUUUGAAUUCUUUAGAUUAGGUUCAAUUCCUAUUUUUCUAG